rnacentral:misc_RNA from 1 species
AAUCCGCAAUAACUUUUUACUGGGUGUACCGAUUUUAAUGAUUUUUAAUUUAAUCGAAAGCCGAUGUUUAUCAUGUGGUCACAUUUAAAUUUCAUCGAGAUCUGAUAACUACUUUUUGAGUAAUCUUUGAUAAUGCGUUGUUACUUGACUAUUUUUUCGUCGAUCUACGUUGUAUUAUACGAUGAUAUAUAUAUAUACGAUGUAAUUGAAGUCGGUUUUUUUUUCGUUUGCGAGCAAACACAAUU